UGGGGAAUCUUGGACAAUGGGGGCAACCCUGAUCCAGCCAUGCCGCGUGAGUGAUGAAGGCCUUAGGGUCGUAAAGCUCUUUCGCCUGUGAAGAUAAUGACGGUAGCAGGUAAAGAAACCCCGGCUAACUCCGUGCCAGCAGCCGCGGUAAUACGGAGGGGGUUAGCGUUGUUCGGAAUUACUGGGCGUAAAGCGCACGUAGGCGGACCAGAAAGUUGGGGGUGAAAUCCCGGGGGCUCAACCCCGGAACUGCCUCCAAAACUAUUGGUCUAGAGUUCGAGAGAGGUGAGUGGAAUUCCAAGUGUAGAGGUGAAAAUUCGUAGAUAUUUGGAGGAACACCAGUGGCGAAAGGCGGCUCACUGGCUCGAUACUGACGCUGAGGUGCGAAAAGUGUGGGGGAGCAAAACAGGAUUAGAUACCCCUGGUAGUCCCACACCGUAAAACGAUGAAUGCCAGUCGUCGGGGUAGCAUGCUAUUCGGUGACACACCUAACGGAUUAAGCAUUCCGCCU
rnacentral:rRNA from 1 species